rnacentral:sRNA from 1 species
GAUGCAGGGAAGGAUGAGAAGCGUCGACUAAGGUUCGAUUCGAGCGUAGCGAGAAAGCGUUGCCGCAGGCAACGACCCGAAGGGUGAGGAGCAAAGCGACGAAUUAUCCUUCCCCCACCACCA